rnacentral:tRNA from 1 species
AAGGGAGACCUAAUUCGGGUAGGAGACGAAAAAAAAGUAGUCGCUACCAAGAAUCAAUCCCAAAAGGUCGGAGCGAGGCGAAAUUGGCUUUCAAACUAGGUUCUGGGUUCACACAAGACCUGAAUCAGGAACAAGGGCUAUUAGCUCAGGUGGUUAGAGCGCACCCCUGAUAAGGGUGAGGUCCCUGGUUCGAGUCCAGGAUGGCCCACCUGCACAGGUGGCAAAAACAAGAGAAGCGAGGAAUCAGCACCUUAUCUUAUAUACAUAUAUAAGAGAGAAUGCUGGCUCUGAGUACAGAGUCCAGAGGAACCUUGAAAACUGCAUAGAGCUAGGUGAAAAAGCCAAAAAAGAAGACCGCAA